AGAGUUAUAGUUUAAUUAAAACAUUUAGCUUGCAACUAAAAAAUAUUUUAAUUAACUCUA
rnacentral:tRNA from 1 species